rnacentral:rRNA from 1 species
CCUACGGGUGGCAGCAGUGGGGAAUAUUGGACAAUGGGCGAAAGCCUGAUCCAGCCAUGCCGCGUGUGUGAAGAAGGCCUUCGGGUUGUAAAGCACUUUCAGUGGGGAAGAAAGCCUUGGGGCUAAUACCCUCGAGGAAGGACAUCACCCACAGAAGAAGCACCGGCUAACUCCGUGCCAGCAGCCGCGGUAAUACGGAGGGUGCGAGCGUUAAUCGGAAUUACUGGGCGUAAAGCGCGCGUAGGCGGUCUGAUAAGCCGGUUGUGAAAGCCCCGGGCUCAACCUGGGAACGGCAUCCGGAACUGUCAGGCUAGAGUGCAGGAGAGGAAGGUAGAAUUCCCGGUGUAGCGGUGAAAUGCGUAGAGAUCGGGAGGAAUACCAGUGGCGAAGGCGGCCUUCUGGACUGACACUGACGCUGAGGUGCGAAAGCGUGGGUAGCAAACAGGAUUAGAUACUCUAGUAGUC